CCCACUAAGCUCACUCUGAGAAAGCCUCGUUUCUUGGGAUAGCAUCAUGCAGUGACACAGGUGAUCAGGCUUGCAGCCUAUCAGUUUAAAUGAACUCAGUGUAAUCCUGGCACUCCAGGCUGCAGUGACUCCAUCUCCUCUCUGCUCAUGUGUCACCAUCUGGAACCUCACUAGAAAUGCUGCCAUGGAAAAUCAACCCAGCUCCUCAAUCCUGAGCCGUGUCAGGAGGUCUCUAAGAAGGCUGGAAUAACACAAGUGAAAAGAUCCUUCCAAACUAGUGAGCAAGAACUGAAAGGCAGGAAAGCUGCUGAAGAGUCACAUGGCCUUGAGGAACAAGGCAAAGCUAUUCUGCAUUAGAGAAAGGAAAGAGGUUGAACUCUGUUAAGUUCUUGCCACAAAAAAAUAAAAUAUGUUUGUUAAAAAAAACAGUGUCAGUAAACAGGAUCAAUUUGCAAGAAGAAGUUUAUGCUUUUUGUUCCAGCAGACCUGCUUUUAAAAAUAUUUUAAAAUACAUUAUUCCAUACUUGAAAUCAAACUUAGUCAAGCUCAUGAGGUCUUUUGGGUUUUUUGUUUUUUGGUGUUUGUUUUAUUUUUGGUGGGGUUUUUCCCUUGCUAAAGGCCUUAUAAAGCAUAGACUGAUCUACAGGAAACAAGCAUUUGAUCAUUUAAAAAUAAAUGUUCAGCUUUCUAUCAGACAAUUGGUGAAAAUUUUUUUCACAGUCAGUUAUAAGCAGUUCAUUUUUUUACUUGGAUUUUUGCUUCUAUUUAGUGGUGUUUAUUCAUUCUAUGUGCCCAUUUUUAUAGAAGGAACACAAGACUACUUGAAAAUCUGUGUAAGGAAGUACAAUAUGGGGGGUCUGAAAAUUCUGCAUAUAAAAAGACAUGUCAAGGAGUAUUUAUAUCUACUCUUGAAAAAAAUAAAUACAUGGGCCAUUGCCUGUUUUUCAGGAAUUUUAGAAGGUAUCAGAAAAUUAUAUUGAAUUCCUUUUUAUAUUAUAUUAAGAAUAAAUAUUUCUUCUCUAUUUAGUAACGUUACUCCCUGCAGUGGGCAUGGUUUUGAGGUUCAUUGGCAUUGCUCACUCCAUGGAUAUUUGCUCAGUGAAGUACAAUUCCCAGUUUCUAGUCACGGCAGGCAGACUGGAGAUCACUUCAGGAACCUCUGAUUCCUGUUUGAGCAGCUGGAAUGGGAAGUUCUCGUGCACAGGGAGCACUGACUGUGGCACUGCUAUGGCAGGUGCCAGGCAUUCCCACCUUGCUGCCAGCCAGGAGCUCUGCCAACCUCAGCACCCUGGGACAGAAGCUCCACCAGCCACUGCCUCUGAAGCCACAGCUGGGGCUUGCAAGGGACUCUUGAGGACAGGCAGCAAAUAUUCUUUUAGAAUUUAGAAUUCUGUAUGAAAAAAUGGAAACCUUUGCCUCUGGUCCAGGCAGUAGAAGCUCUGUUGAACUUUCUAGCAUCAGAAAUCACUCCCAGCACACUUCUGCUUCUGUAUGAUCCCCUUGGACUAGCACAGGCAGGGGGGAGCAGGAGGACAGAGGACAGAUGGCUAAAAUGUCUUCUUGUAUCCCAUUAGUCCAAGCCUUACAGUGGCACACCACCACAUGGGGCCUUAACCAGCUCCUUCUUUUGUUCCAGUCUGUUUGUCUCUGAUGAACACACUGUACUUUAAAUUGAUUCCCAGAACAAUGAAUAAAAAAUGAGCAAUUAGGCAACCUACUUCCCCCUAACCUUAUUCCCAUCAUUGUCCAUCUGGUCUCAUGCUAAACAAUUCAUUUAAGAGGGGCUCUUGCUCACUGCCACUCCAGUAACUUUCCUUUUUGAUGUCAGCUCCCUCCCCAACUAUCAGAGGCAAUUUCUGCCAGUGUCUCCCUCCUCUGUGCUUAUACUUUGCAUGUCCUUCACAGCACUUGUUCUAACCACCUGCAUUCCUAUCUUGCCAACAUAGACACAUUUAGUUCUCUUAAAGCAAACAUUUCAAAUGAGACACUGCAGAAGGGAGAAAUCACGAGGCAGCCAGAGCUCUGCAGUACAGACAGGUUGGAUCAGUCACUGUGUACUCACCACUCUGGAGCAGCAGGACCAUGACUGUGUCAUGCAAGACAGCAGCUCAAUACCAGAGCACUGGAAACAGGAUCCUUCCUAUUCUGCAAAUUAGAUCUCUGUUCAAAUCUAAAUAGAUCUAAAUGUUUGUAAGAAAGUAACCCUAUUUCUACUCCCAGCCAUUGGCUCUUCUGCACAUGAUCCUCUAAACCUUUUGUGGAGUUAGGGUUGAGAAAUUAAGUCAUUUGCAAUGGCCAUUGCAUGGCAAAUUCUUUUUGGAACAUCCAAAACAAAAAGAUGACUUUGAAAUGCUCAUAUCUAAGCUGUUUAUUUCCAUAAGAAACAAAUUUUCAUUAAAAUGUUAUUUUCUUUCCAUUAACUGCAUAAAACCCCCCAAGCGUGUUAUGUACCCUCAAGAGGGCAGCAUGGUAUUUCAAAAUUCACCUUACAAAGGGGAUUAUGCCUUAGCAUAAAAGAAGGCUCUAAUGAGAGCAUGGAAUUAGUGUUGCUGUAAACGUUAAUUAUAAAAAAAUUAGGCAAAAAAGAAGGUAAGUCUGUGACAGGGCCAUUUGCUCACCUGCCCAUUGCUGCUGCUCAUGUAGCACCACAGGGACCACAGAAGCAGCUGAUGCAGGACUGCAGUUUCCAUGCCAGUUCUUGCUUAACCAGUACCAGCUGUGAGCAAUCUAUUCAAAAUUGUGGUGGCAUUGUGUAUAGGGCAAAGAGCAGCCAAGCUCUGUGAUAAUAAAAUUUGUGCCUGUGAGUGGUAAUAACUCUAUUCAUGCCUUCCAAUGGUAUAGAGAAAUUAAGGAUUAAAGGAACACUGACUACAAGGUGAUCCCAUGAGUUACUCAGUAUGGUUGACUUUCACAGCACUACAUAAUUCUGUCCUUCCAUGAAAGUAUUGUUUCAUCAUAGAAUUUUUUUUCCCCUCUCUCUCCUUAUAUAAAAAUUCCAGUGUGGAUCUAUUCUUCACCAAUUUAUAUCUUCUGAUUCUUGUGUCAACAUUAUCAGUUAGCCCUUACACUGCUUCUAUUUGGUUUAAUUAAACUUGUUUCUGUCUUUCAUGCUGUGAAAAAAAUCUUCCAAUUUUUGAUCAUUUUAGUAAAAAUUCUCUCUGCCUGUUCCCAUAUAAAUCUUGCCUCAGCAAAGAUAAAAACUAUGUUCCAGGUGAACAAUCACUGCCACUGUCCUUAAUAUCUCUUCAAGUAUUUAUGUUGGAAAUUCAUCAUGUCACCACGUGCUUUUUUGAGCACUGAUGAAUUAGGGAUGGCAAUGGUAGCAUGUAUUUGGAAGACUUGGAGAAAGACCAAGCUUGGGAGUUAGCUGCAGGUACAGGCUCAGAUUCUGCCAUCACUGCAGCAGACCAAGACAAACAAGAUUGUAUCUCCCAUGCCUCAUUUUAGAGUGGUGAUAAUAUCCACCACUAUCUACCUGGUACCACAGCAUUACAACUCUAUAGAAAUAUAAUACCAUACAUAUUAACUGGAUGCUUUUCAUCUCAGUAAAGUAGUGCCUCUGCUGUAAUUCCCUCAGUAAUGUCCAAGGUCAGCUAAGUGCUUUGAUAUUGGUAUAUCACUACAUAACCCGUAGCAUGUCAGGUAUUAGGAGAAUUUCUUUGCCCAAUAGAAUUUUCAAAAAAAAAACUUCUCUCAUUCCAGAAGAAUGCUUACUUGAAUUAUGCCUUAAAUUGGUGGGAUUAUUUUCAUCAUAAAUCCUGUGUACUAAGGAGAAAAUUUCUAAUAGCACUUCUACAACUACUGCUACUUAAUACCCUUCUACCAUCCAAAUGUAGUACAUUGAAAAAUAAAAAUUAAU